rnacentral:rRNA from 1 species
AUUGAACGCUGGCGGCAGGCCUAACACAUGCAAGUCGAGCGGAUGAAGGGAGCUUGCUCCUGGAUUCAGCGGCGGACGGGUGAGUAAUGCCUAGGAAUCUGCUUGGUAGUGGGGGAUAACGUCCGGAAACGGGCGCUAAUACCGCAUACGUCCUGAGGGAGAAAGUGGGGGAUCUUCGGACCUCACGCUAUCAGAUGAGCCUAGGUCGGAUUAGCUAGUUGGUGGGGUAAAGGCCUACCAAGGCGACGAUCCGUAACUGGUCUGAGAGGAUGAUCAGUCACACUGGAACUGAGACACGGUCCAGACUCCUACGGGAGGCAGCAGUGGGGAAUAUUGGACAAUGGGCGAAAGCCUGAUCCAGCCAUGCCGCGUGUGUGAAGAAGGUCUUCGGAUUGUAAAGCACUUUAAGUUGGGAGGAAGGGCAGUAAGUUAAUACCUUGCUGUUUUGACGUUACCAACAGAAUAAGCACCGGCUAACUUCGUG